rnacentral:rRNA from 1 species
CGUUAAGUUGCAGGGUAUAGACCCGAAACCCGGUGAUCUAGCCAUGGGCAGGUUGAAGGUUGGGUAACACUAACUGGAGGACCGAACCGACUAAUGUUGAAAAAUUAGCGGAUGACCUGUGGCUGGGGGUGAAAGGCCAAUCAAACCGGGAGAUAGCUGGUUCUCCCCGAAAGCUAUUUAGGUAGCGCCUCGUGAAUUCAUCUCCGGGGGUAGAGCACUGUUUCGGCUAGGGGGCCAUCCCGGCUUACCAACCCGAUGCAAACUGCGAAUACCGGAGAAUGCUAUCACGGGAGACACACGGCGGGUGCUAACGUCCGUCGUGAAGAGGGAAACAACCCAGACCGCCAGCUAAGGUCCCAAAGUCAUGGUUAAGUGGGAAACGAUGUGGGAAGGCCCAGACAGCCAGGAUGUUGGCUUAGAAGCAGCCAUCAUUUAAAGAAAGCGUAAUAGCUCACUGGUCGAGUCGGCCUGCGCGGAAGAUGUAACGGGGCUAAACCAUGCACCGAAGCUGCGGCAGCGACACUGUGUGUUGUUGGGUAGGGGAGCGUUCUGUAAGCCUGUGAAGGUGUGUCGUGAGGCAUGCUGGAGGUAUCAGAAGUGCGAAUGCUGACAUAAGUAACGAUAAAGCGGGUGAAAAGCCCGCUCGCCGGAAGACCAAGGGUUCCUGUCCAACGUUAAUCGGGGCAGGGUGAGUCGACCCCUAAGGCGAGGCCGAAAGGCGUAGUCGAUGGGAAACGGGUUAAUAUUCCCGUACUUGGUGUUACUGCGAAGGGGGGACGGAGAAGGCUAUGUUGGCCGGGCGACGGUUGUCCCGGUUUAAGCGUGUAGGUGUGUGUUCCAGGUAAAUCCGGUUCACUUUAACACUGAGGCGUGACGACGAGGCACUACGGUGCUGAAGCAACAAAUGCCCUGCUUCCAGGAAAAGCCUCUAAGCAUCAGGUAACAUCAAAUCGUACCCCAAACCGACACAGGUGGUCAGGUAGAGAAUACCAAGGCGCUUGAGAGAACUCGGGUGAAGGAACUAGGCAAAAUGGUGCCGUAA